rnacentral:rRNA from 1 species
UACGUAGGGUGCGAGCGUUAAUCGGAAUUACUGGGCGUAAAGCGUGCGCAGGCGGUUUUAUAAGCCAGAUGUGAAAGCCCCGGGCUCAACCUGGGAAUGGCAUUUGGGACUGUAAGGCUGGAGUAUGGCAGAGGAGAGUGGAAUUCCCGGUGUAGCAGUGAAAUGCGUAGAGAUCGGGAGGAACAUCAGUUGCGAAGGCGGCUCUCUGGACCAGCACUGACACUGAGGCACGAAAGCGUGGGGAGCAAACAGG